UCCUACGGGAGGCAGCAGUUGGGCGCAAGCCUGAUCCAGCCAUGCCGCGUGUGUGAAGAAGGCCUUAUGGUUGUAAAGCACUUUAAGCGAGGAGGAGGCUACUCUAGUUAAUACCUAGGGAUAGUGGACGUUACUCGCAGAAUAAGCACCGGCUAACUCUGUGCCAGCAGCCGCGGUAAU
rnacentral:rRNA from 1 species